UAUACAUAUAAUAACUAAAUCAUAGUGCUAUGCAGAGACCCAACCGUCCUUGCCAAUAAACAUCCAGUGGUUCCUAAUCACCACUUCCUCUCACCUCCCCCCUCGUCAUAAAAAAUCCUUCCAAUGCCCGCCGUCAGCCGACCUUAUCCACGCUCGAUGGGCACGAUACCUCAGGCAACCUAAUGUUUAACCUUUUGAAGCAGGGGAGGUUGAGACCUGCAAAACAUAAAAACUUACUCCAUCCUUAAACAUGACCCCUCAAACUUAAUUGGCAAGGCCCGCUGCUUUACCCCCGAUGCUUUACCCCUAUAUCAGCGGGGAGCCCCACCAAAACCUCCCAUGGCCUGUUACACCUCUUCUUGAAGGGCGAGAUUGAAAAGGUCGAGCCCGACCUCCGUUAGGUGUACCCCAUCCCCCUGAAAAAAUUGAGCCGCCUCCCACUCAAAAACCCUGUGGCCAAGAGUCAGCGCACCAUUUGGCGCCCAGAAUGGACCCAAAGCCAACCGAGCCCGCCGCAUCGGUGAACAAAUGGAGGUCGGCGUUAGAGACCUCCGGGACCUGUAGGACCUGCCAUUAUAGGAAGCCAAAAAGGAAUCCCAAAUGGCCAAGUCAGCCCGCAAGGGCCGGGUAAGCCGGAUAAAAUGCAGCGGGUGAACGACCCCUGACGUUACUGCCGCCAGGCGCCGAUUAAAGAUGCGCCCCAUAGGCAGGAUUCGACAGGCAAAAUUGAACUUCCCCAGCAGAGACUGCAGGCAGCGCAGCUGUAUCUUACGCUGCCCCAAGGCCCGGGACACCGCAAGGCGCAGGUCCAAAACCUUAUCCUGUGGCAGCUGACAUUCCCCUGCCAUCGAAUCAAUUUCGAUGCCCAGAAAGCUCAGACACGUGACUGGACCGACUGUCUUGUCGUGAGCCAACGGGACUCCGAAGCGCUGAAACACCUCCCCGAGAACCCGCAGCAGGAGGGCACAGACGUGUGAUCCCGCCGGACCUACACACAGGAAAUCAUCUAGGUAGUGCAGGAGGGAGGCCACCCCAGCUUCCCUCCGCACCACCCAUUCCAGAAAAGUGCUAAAGCACUCAAAAUAGAAACAGGACAGCGAGCAACCCAUAGGGAGGCACAUGUCCACGAAAAACUGACCCUCAAAGGCGCACCCCAAAAGAUGAUGGCACUCCGGAUGCACUGGGAGCAGCCGGAAAGCGGAUUCCACAUCUGCCUUAGCCAGCAACGACCCCGGGCCCGCCGCCCUAACCAUGCGAACCGCCGCAUCAAAGGAAGCAUAGGAAACCCUACAAAGCUCAGCGGAAAUGUCAUCAUUCACCGAACCCCCUCGAGGGUACGACAAAUGGGGAAUCAAACGAUACUUCCCGGGAUCCUUCUUAGGCACCACACCCAAAGGAGAAACCCGCAAAUUAGCCAUCGGUGGGGCAGAGAAAGGGCCGGCCAUCCACCCCAAUGAGACCUCAUAAUCCAACUUUUCCCGUACCACCUGAGGGACAGCCUGCACCGAUUUGAGGUUGCGUACGGAGAGCAGCGGAGGGCGCUCAGAGAACGGGAUCCAAAACCCCUGCUCAAACCCCUCCUCCAGGAUCCACGCCGCGGCCCGAUUCCUAUAAAGGUCGAGCCAUGGGCACAUCGUGUUUACGAGGACCGGAGUCGUCGCCCUUAGCCCCCAUGUCCCCUUUUUCACCCGUUUUUCCCCGCUUGAAACAGCGAGAGGUAGGAUGGGCCCCGCCGCAGCUGGAGCACUCGUGCUUAAACCGGCAUGAAGACCCCCACUUACAGAGACUGUCGUUAAACUUCCAACAACAGCCAGACCUUGGACCUGAGGCCGAUGAGGAGGAAGGCGCGCCCCCACCGGCCCCCCCAAGAAAGGACGAAAACGCCCCUUGUUGAGGGGCUGGACGAGUCAUGAUGGAAAGCCAGAGGCCGAUAUCCAUCUGAUCCCAUGACAGCGAGGGACGUACCGCUAGCCGCUGUCGAAACUGCUCAUCGUAUCUCCACCAACCAGCCCUCCAUAGGUGCGACAAGUGUUCCAGAUCGUGUCCUGAUAACAGAAAAGCGCGGAGCACUUGUGGGGAAACUUUUCCUCAACCACGCUGGCCAAAAAAGAGAACGCCCGUAUCCAGUUCCCAAAGGUCUUGGGAAUUUUGCGGAAACGGUACUUCUCCCUAUCCUUUUCCGACUCCUUACUGUCCUUGUACGCCACGGGAGGAGCUUCCUCCAGUGGUAGGAGAGAAAAUAUCUCCACAAAUUCCCCUUUCCAAUUUUUUUCCUUCGUUUCCUGCUUCAAGUGCAAGCCCAGAGGGCCAGACCAGCACAUGUAAGCGGCACCCCGCGCUACGUCCGAGACCCCCCCCUUCGAGACCAGCAUCAACCGAGGAGUCGCCAACACUGGCCACCGCGGGUGCCAGGGAACCCAGAGGCACCGUACCGCCACCCAUCCCGAGCAGAGGCCCAGGAGGGGGAGAAGCCUGAACAUUAGGAGGGAGCAGAGCCGGGGACAAAGCCGACCGGAGUUGACCAUCAACCGAAGUGACCCCACUAACCGCCAUCCCCCGCUCCCACUGAUCCAAAAAAAACC